ACUAAGAAGAAGAUUUCUGAUACAGAUGGUGUCUGGGUGUACGGUACAUGCAGGAAACUGUUUACACAGUGGAAAAAUAAAACUUAACUUGACCUUUUCUCCUUGCUCUAGUGACAAGUGACAAUACAUUUUUAAGAGUCCAUCUGUACCACUACGACGUCUCCACCCCUCAAAGCUGUUGUGAGAUGUAUAUGGAGCGCUUCCAGCUUCUGAAGUCUGAGUGGGAGGCGGAGAUUCAGGCAGCAGAGAGGAGGGCCGUCUGUCUGAGGGGAAAUUUAAUGCUGACCCCGCUCUUAUCUUCACAUUUUCAACCACCACAUCCUCCCUGUGUCCAGCAGACAGACUCAAACCCUGCAGCUCUCUGUCCAAGCACCGAUCUUCCUAAACCUCCUACUCUGAUGAAUCAUCUCUCAGCUACAUUCAUCCAUGUCGGUAUCACAGUCGGCACAGGAAAAAGGAAAGUGAAGGCUUUCGCAGAAAACUCCUGGACCCUUUAAGCACCGGUCACUGUGUAGUUGAUCACAGAGUCAUAAGAGACAGACUACAUGUUGGACCCUGAACAAUAAGAGCUUCCACAACUUACAGAGGUGAUAAGGAAGCAACAUUUUCACUGUUCCACCUGACAACAGCUCAUCCGCACCCCCAUACUUUUGGUAUUUGCAGGUGCAUACGAGGGCCCGUUAAGGCAACAAGCACAUGGAGCUUUAUCCAUCACUCAUGCAAAUAAAAUGUAUAGUUUUA